GUGAACCUGCGGAAGGAUCAUUACUGGGGCUGGGCCGGCCGCGCCGUGCCCGAGCUGGGCGUCGCACACUCGCUCGCUCGCUCGAGCGACGGAGCCCGCUCCGCGCAGAGCGCGGCUCACGCUGUUGUCGAAGCAAAGCCACUCCGCGCGCCGGCUAGUGAGAGGGGAAGGGUGCGGAGCGGCUGCCGGGAUGGCAGGGUGUACGUCCGUGGGUGCCGCGCUCCCCCUCCGCCGCAUGCUCCCUCCCUCCCUCCCUGCCUUCCUCGGCCGCGAGGAGGAGGAAGGAGGGAGGAGGGAGAGGCGGCAGGAGCAGGGGUUUGCUGCCGGCCCGCUGUGCCGCCCCGCCGCGCGACCUCCCCCCAGCCAGGCGCCGGUCUGCUGCCGGUCUGCCCAGGGCCGGCCCGGCCGUCGCCCCGCCGCCAGCCGCUGGCCGCGCCGUUCUGGCCACCGUGCGCGCUCGCGUCCUCUGCGCUCGCCUUCCUCUGCGCCGCCGCCGUGUCGGCGGCACGCGAGUCCCCCUCCCCUGUGGGUGUAGGGGGUGGCGGUAGGGUGGGGAUCGGUUGUCCCCCGCCCGCUCUCUGCUGCUUGCCCGUCCGCCGCCGGCCCGUGCCGCCGGCGGUGCGGGCGGGGCGGGCAGCGGCGAGCGAGAGGGAAAAGCCAGUCGUCCGUCCCUCCGCGCCUCCCUCCCCGACGCGGGUCGGGGCCCCGCGUCGUCGUCGGAGCCGGCAAGGGUCAGAGGGCGUGGCGCGGGGGGAGCGUGUCGCACGCGGUGCCGCGGCGGGCGUGUGGCCGUGGGGCGGCGGUGGGGUCUGUGCCGCGCGGGCGGCCCGAGCCGCGUGUCUCCUCUCGGGCGCAGCUGCCACCCGGCGCCGGGCUAGCGAGGGAAACCCCGGGCCCCGGGAGGAGGACGAGGUGGUGGCAGCGGAUGGCGGGCGCGCCCCCGGGGGUGGACGCUCCGCCGAGGGGUGCCGGGGCCGGCUGGUGGGUGCCGGGUUUCCCCCUCGGCGCCCUGUCCGCCGCCGAGCAGGGCGGCGGCGGUGGGGGAGGCACCCCCGCGGGGCCUUCAGGUAG
rnacentral:lncRNA from 1 species